UACGUAGGGUGCAAGCGUUGUCCGGAAUUAUUGGGCGUAAAGAGCUCGUAGGCGGUUUGUUGCGUCGGCUGUGAAAUCCCGAGGCUCAACCUCGGGUCUGCAGUCGAUACGAGCAAACUAGAGUGUUGCAGGGGAGACUGGAAUUCCUGGUGUAGCGGUGAAAUGCGUAGAUAUUGGGAGGAACACCAGUGGCGAAGGCGGCUCACUGGACCGGAACUGACGCUGAGGCGGCGAAAAGCGUGGGGAGCAAACGGG
rnacentral:rRNA from 1 species